CCUACGGGCGGCAGCAGUGAGGAAUAUUGGUCAAUGGACGAGAGUCUGAACCAGCCAAGUAGCGUGAAGGAUGACUGCCCUAUGGGUUGUAAACUUCUUUUAUAUGGGAAUAAAAUGUUCCACGUGUGUGAUUUUGUAUGUACCAUAUGAAUAAGGAUCGGCUAACUCUGUGCCAGCAGCCGCGGUAAUACGGAGGAUCCGAGCGUUAUCCGGAUUUAUUGGGUUUAAAGGGAGCGUAGGUGGAUUGUUAAGUCAGUUGUGAAAGUUUGCGGCUCAACCGUAAAAUUGCAGUUGAAACUGGCAGUCUUGAGUACAGUAGAGGUGGGCGGAAUUCGUGGUGUAGCGGUGAAAUGCUUAGAUAUCACGAAGAACUCCGAUUGCGAAGGCAGUUCACUGGACUGCAACUGACACUGAGGCUCGAAAGUGUGGGUAUCAAACAGGAUUAGAUACCCGAGUAGUC
rnacentral:rRNA from 1 species